GCUUACGGCCACACCUCCCUGAGCACGUCUGAUCUCGGAAGCUAAGCAGAGUCGGGCCCGGUUAGUACUUGGAUGGGAGACCGCCUGGGAAUACCAGGUGCUGUAAGCC
rnacentral:rRNA from 1 species